AGAGCACAGGGUGUGUCUGCCACUUUAAGGGCCUGGAGCUGGCAGCCUCCAGGUGCCUGAUUAGGGCAGCCAUUUUGAGGCCUAGGCUGCCUAUAUAAACAAGGCAGUUUGGCUGCAGGAGGCCAGGCAGUAACAUUGCCUGGCCAGAGGUCUGCUGCGAACAACCCAGAGACCUCGUCAAAUUCUUCUGCUGCUCCCUCUUGGGUGCAUCUCACUUUCUUGCAGGUACUAAUGCUCCCAGGGACACCCCACUCAUUUCAAGGAGGAAGAUGGUCUCAUCCUUGCUUUCUUGAGGGGAAAGUGAGGCACAGAGACCAGGAUCUUGAGGGGAUGUGGCUGCCUCUUGCCCAGUGAAGUAGGUGAUGUCCAAACCUCCUGGAGAGGAUGUAAGAUCUGGAACUCCAUUGUCAUCAUCCCCGGGCUGGCCUGUAACCCCAGCACUCUGUGAUUUCCCAGUCAGGCUGCCCCAUGUCCCCAGCGUUACCUGAAUAAGCAGCCAGGAAGAGAAGCAGCCUGAGACCUGUCAUCUUCAUUCCACUCAGCGACCUUGUGGGCUGAGGACACUGGAGCUUUUCUCUUCACACCUCAGUGAGGAUCAGAUGCUCUCCUUUAUCUGGGUGGGGCCCAGUCUCAUUUGCAUGUGGUUGCUACUAAAUCAUAUGCAUAAAACCAUGGUUUGCCCUAUUGUGCUCAUAAAGGACAAUAUGAUCCUUCAUAAUUUUUUUCAAAGACCUUUCCAAGGAUGUACGUGAGACUGACUGGCCUAUAAUUACUCAGAUCCUCCUUCCUCCCCUUCUUGAAAAUAAGGACCACACUGGCCCCUUUCCAGCCCUCUGGUCAGUCAGUCCCUCCAGAAUGUGGACUGAUCUUUCCUAUCCAUUCUGACCUUUGUGCAGGGGACAGACAGAUCCAGUUAAUGUUGUAGUGGCUGCUCUGGCCAUAGCCAGGUGGUAAGGGCAGGGGCUAUGGAGUGGAGGUGACCUCUGUGUCUUGGGUAAGAUGUAGAGCUGCACCCUGCUGGGGAAGGGUGGUGUGGUGGGGCUCCUACUGGCAUGGGAGACCCCAGGAAAUGCCAAACCAAUUACUUCCCUUGUGAAAGGUGGGUCAGGGUGCCUUAUAACCCCAGCCCCACAUCUUUGGUGGUGUUCUAGUGAACAGGUGGAGCCCAGGGCCCAUUAAGGAGCCCUGAGGCAGAGCUCAGGCUGGAGGAGGGACCUGGGGCCACACCUGGGUGGCAGGGGAAAGCCUGGGGGUGCGAGAGACCCUGAGUGAGAGGGGCAAUGAGUAAAGAGACCCUGGAUGAGAGGGGCAACAAGUAAAGUGGCCCCAUGAGUGUGGGCAAGUGAGGAGGCCUAGUGGAGGCAUAGUGGUCCAUCGAGGGGCCAGGAGCUAAACAGGCCUACAGUCGUACAAUCGCUCAGUCAAUGCUCAGGUGAGGGUGCCGGGAGGCAUGCAACAGACUGCACUGGGGCUGACUGAGGUGAGGAUAGCUAAGCCUGAACUUGGGUGAGGCCAGGUAGGAUGAGUGUGGCCCUGAGAGAGCAGUAUGAAAGAGGCUGGGUGAGAGCCAGCAGAGUAAGUGGGACCCCAGUGGGAGAGGGGUGGUAUGUGAGUGGCUGCAGAGAAGAGCUACAACUGUGUGCCUUGUUUGCUCCAGCCAUGGGCUAGAGAAGUAACACCACUAGAGAAGUAACUCCAGCCAUGGGCUAGAGAAGCAACAUCUGAGAGGCUUGGGACCUGUGGAGGGGAGGUUGGAGCAGGUGUUAGGCCCUUGCCAGCAGGGCAAAUAAUGGGUAGCCUCCCAACCUAGUAAGAACGCUCAUGGUUUUUCCAUCAAGGUGUAGCAAGCGAGCAAAGUGGGUGGUUGCCUGAGGAGCAGGGUGUCCAGCAGAGACCUGACCAGGAGGCCACCCUGUUACUCUCACUAACAAUGAUGACAGUUGGAAAGCAAAGCUCCUGGUUUGGAAUUAAAGCUCAAAAUUUCUCUACCCCUGGUUGAAGCCCAGAAGCUGAGACCCUCCCUCUCCCCAGCACUCCCAGACCUGCCAUGUUGGCUUCCCUCAAGGCCUGUGUGGGCUGCACAGACACUGGGCUCUUCUCCAGUUGGAGAUAAGCGGGCACAAUGUGCAUUAGAGUGCCUGAUGCUGGUAUCCUGGCAUGGGAUAUGAGGGCAGUUGUGAGGACAUGAACUCUAGGAAUGAUGAACUGGAACCCUCUCUGUAGGCAAAAGUGUAGUUGAGCCUGGAUGUCCAAAUUUUCAGCACAGGGAUUGAUACAGUAUAUGUCACACAAGGAAAAGGGAUUUGGAUUUCCAGGUCUCCACUUUGCAAAUCCCAGUCUUCAGUGACUGGAGAUGGUGAGCUCCUCAGUGUUGUUCCUUGUUUCUGUGAAAAGUCAAUCUGUUUUAAAUGUGGAAACAUGCUGCCACCCUAUUGCUGUGCAUGUCUGUCAGCAACGAAGGCUGCAGCAAUCACACGGAGUUCAUAUAUCGCUACCCUUUACUCCCCAGAAAUGUUUUAUAAUAACUCUGUAAUGGGAAGACUUUUGUGUAAGACUGUCUACAAAAUCAGAUCAUUACAAUUCCUGUGCACCAAGAACAAGCAGUACAGUACAACUCUCAAAUGCAAGACCAAGAUGCAUUUCUGCCCCCAGGGGAGGGGGCACUGCUAUUUUCACAAGAAAAGGAAGAAGGAUUCAGUGCUUUCUUUGCUUGUGAACUUCCUUUAUUAUUAACUUUUGAUCUAGAAGUUGGUGGAUCUGCUCCUGUCCUCCUUGCUAGGCCUCAAAGGACUGGGAGUGGACACUGGCAGCAACAUCCAUUAAUUCCUGUAGAGAUUAGAAACAAGGAGUGUAUCACCCUGCUUGCUCAAAAGCCUCAGGAGAUGAGACAGAGCAAGUCUAAAGGUUUUGGAGUUGGAAGAAACCUGCCUGCGCCUGUCCCUGUGACCUUGAGAUCCACAGAAGUACAGAAGCAGCACAAAGGAACUGAAAGAAAAUAUGCUUCUUUAUUGAAAGGCAGAGGCCUGUCCUCCCUAGACAUCUUCACCAGGAUCACAACUGUGACAUGAUGAAGUCAUCUCCAGAUCCAGUUGACACAGUCUGGAGCAGAAGUCAAGACACCUGGGGGUAAAGCUGACUUAUAAAACCUCUGGCUACACAUUUACAUACCUUGGCAUGAACUGGACACAAGAGGCUCGUGGGAGCGAGCUGCUGCCAGCCUAAGGCUGUACACAUCUGUUGGAAGCAGAGGUGGCAUGUCUGCUUUUAACCUUCCAUUUUAUUGUUUUUACUUUGAAAAUAUCUUCAGGUCUCGGGAGGGGUGGGAAGAAAGUGAGGGAGAAGUGGGCAGAGAAAAAUCACCCUGUCUUAU